rnacentral:rRNA from 1 species
AUGUCCGCUUCGUCUUCAACCUCUCUCCUCGUCCCAGCGGAUUGGUUGAUGCCUCUCAUGCCAUGCAGACGAGGUCGAGACCAACGUCGCAAGCCCUGGCUCCCAGGCAGAGCAACAUUUCUACAAGUGCAUCCACUACGAUCCGAGGACCUGAUGAAGAAUUGGCAAGUGCAAGCCAUCAUAUGGGGCCCUGCGACACUAACCAAAGCAGAUCAUGUCACACACCUGGGCCGUCGCCGCAACCAAGUCCCGGUUCUCUCCUUCCCCAACAUUUCUCCAACAUCAUGUGCCUUCUGGCUGGAAGGUCCCGUAACAGUUCUUGGGGGCUAUGCCAAGUUUUGUUUUACACUUGGAAAUGACAGUAUAACCUUUCCAAAUCCAGAAACCGAUAGAAGAUACAGAAGAAAACUAGGUGCAAUCAAUAGUUGUGGAGGUAAGGGGCUGAAGAUUGCUGUGCCACCGAAAAAAGGUUUUCAAGAUUUUGUGAAUGUUACUGAUCUUAAUUCCAAGAAACCACAUGUCACUGGCUACAACAUUGAUAUCUUUGAGGCUGCUAUGAGGACUUUACGUCCUCUCCUGUGCUAUGAAUAUUUUGUCUUCAAUGGUACUUAUGAUGAGCUAGUAGGCAACAUGUCUUUGGGGGUCUAUGAUGCUGCAGUAGGCGAUGUGACCAUAACGGCAGAACGAGUCACCACCACCGACUUUACAAUGCCAUACACACAGUCUGGUGUGUCUAUGCUUGUGCUUGCCGUGGAUGAACCCUAUAGAAUCAGUUGGACAUUUGUAAAGCCACUAAAUGGGGAGCUUUGGUUUGCAACCAUGGUCUUUUUCCUGUAUACUGGCUUUGUCGUGUGGAUGAUUGAACUACCGAGAAAUCAAGAGUACCAAGGAUCAAGUUUGAGACAGUGUAGCACAGCCCUCUACUUCGUUUUCUCCACUUUGACAUUUUUUUUUCGAGAGUACGCAAAUUGCGUACCAUAG